rnacentral:lncRNA from 1 species
ACAAUCAUGCUUUAUAAGCUUUAUGAGUUAUUCUGUAUAAGAUAGUAGGGAAGUGGUAUUAUUAAUACUUAGUAAUUCAAAGAAUACAUGUAUGUGUGCUCUGAAAUAAGGGUUCUAGUUGGUAAAUAUGUUACAUUAAUAAUACUAAUGCAUAUUUUUUUACCUUUUAGAGAGUGUGCUUGUCCUGUUUUUGUAUAUGAUUAUUCUUGCAAUAAGGGAGACAAAAAAUUUGAAUUUGUUGAAACAUGGUCCCUAAAAUGAUUUGACCAACUGUUUCUUCUAAACAUGGGAAAUAUGAAAGUUAUCAGUGUCUUAAGGAUGAAAAAUGGGUUUACAUUAUUAUAUUGAUUAAAAAAAAUAGUUCUUCCUUUUUUGCCAUCUACUUUUUAAACUUAAUUAAAAUUUAACUGGAAAGUUUCCUAUUGAAAAUAUAUUUCUCUGUGUUAUUUAGUGCAGUUAAAUGCUAAAGGGCAAAUUGAAACUGUCUUCAAAUUAUGAGGUCUUUGGGGAUAUUUAUCUUUUUGCUCUGAAUGUUCCUUGUUGGAGGUACUUUUGAGCUCUUAGUGA